ACUCACAACCCCGAGAUCAAGAGUCAUGCGCUCCACUGACUGAGCCGGCCUGGCGCCCUGAACAACAUUUUUUUUUUUUAACUCCGAAAUGGACAAAGGAGGAAGGAAGAGACACCAGGAGACGCGGCCCCACAGUGGACCGAUGUCAGCAUCCCAAAUGACCACAGGUUCACGGGCACUCGCAAAGGGCGUACAGGGAAGCCCCUACACCCGGCGCCCCCUCCGUCCGCGCUGACGCCUAGUGCGGGGCCGGCACGGGGUGGCCGGAGCUCUGAGCCGCUGUGCCGCGUGUCCGCGUGUGUGCCCGGCACCCCGUCAGGAUACGGAGCGUUCCUGUCACCGCGGAGAGCCCCCCCAGCUGCCCCGUUGCCACCCCCCACCGCCGGGCCCCACGGAUCUGCUGUCCGUGUCCAUGAGUCUGUCAUCGUGAGAAGGUUCUCUCCCCGCCCUUGGAGAUGCGCUUCUCCGUGGAGCACAAGCCCCGAGGGCCCACCCGGCUGUAGCCCCUCCGCAGUGUGGCCUUUGUCUCGCCAGGCGGUUUUCCGCGGCGUGCGGGUGCCGGCUGGCUUACUGAGGGGCCCCUGGGUCGGUGCCCAUCGGGGGCCGUCGUGUUCGUGCGCGGGCUCUGAGCGGAUACGAAAGUCUCACUUCUCUGGGGUGAAUGCCAGGGACGAAUCGGGCAGUUGCCGGGUCACGGCCUGUUUCCCACGCCGUCUGAUGGGCCGUUUCUUCCUUUCGUCCCCGGAUACGGACGUGCGUUCUCGUUUAGAGCGGCCCCUCGGGAUCCCUCCACGUGAAAGUGCCAUCCCGAAGGUGAGCGCGGGCUGUUCUGGCUGCCGGCGGGGACACGGGCGCUGGACGCACAGAGCACAUCCUUGAAGGGGGUGACUCCCGGAUGACGUGUUUCUAGAAGUGGAGUCGCUGGGCCUGGAACACGCACACAUUGACGUGCAUGCCACGAGCCCUCUGGUGCAUUUAAACUUUCUUUUCUGUUGCGUGUUUUUUUUUUGUUUUUUGGGUUUUUUUUGCAACCUGAGAUAUAAUGGACACGUGACACCGUACUAGUCUCAGGCACACAACACAAUGACUUGGUGUUCGUGUACGUGGCCAACCGACGUCAGCGGGCCUGGUCGGCGCCCGUCACCACGCACAGGUGCACACCGUCUUCUCCAGGCCGUGCUCUCUUAGCAGCUUUCGAAUUCACAAUACAGUCUCAUUACCUAUCCCGCACGUGACAGGUGACCUCCUCACUUUGUAACUGCAAGUCUGCACCUGUCGAGCCCCGUCACCCGUUUCCCGCGCCCCCGCCUCUGGCAUCCGCCAGUCUGUUCUCUGUGCCCCCUGAGCUCGGUUUCUGUUUCAGAUUCCACGCAGGAGUGAGAUCACACAGGGUUUGUCUUCCUCCGCCCGGCUUCCUUGACGCGGCAUAAUUUAAACUUUUUACAAUAGAUUAUACGGACCGUUAGUAAAAAGUUACGCUUUAUAUCGGCGUGGGGCUCACCUAUAUAAGUGUGAAGGAUGAAUACACGCUGUGACCGGCUUAAAGCUUCAUCAGCCACACGGCCACCCCUUCCCGGAAAAACAAAACGGAACACAAACACCGUCUCCCUUCGGGUGAGCUCUUCGGUCGCCAGUGCCGAAGGCCCCUGCCCGCUCAUCCCGCUGCUAAGAGCUGCAUUUUCACACUCUGCUUCUUUUUUUUUUUUUUUUGGCUUGGUCCUUGAUGAUUUACAAGAGGUGUUCUCAAUUCAGGAUAUUCACCGUGCACCCGUAUGUGUAAUUGGUUUUAAACAUGUCGAUCGAUGGUCAGAUCGCAGACGGUUUCUGCCUAUGGUCUCUGGCUUCUAGAGCGUGCUUCCGAACGAUUCUCUCACCCCAGGAUUAAAAAAAUAUCCCUAUGUGGAAUUUCUUCUAGGAUGUUAUGGUUCAAGAAUGACCCUGGCCCGUGUUUUCUAAGUGAGCUUUUUAUUUCCGAAUGAUUUGCUCCCCCCGCCCCACGUCCACACCUGACCUUCCCUCCAGGAAGUGGCCCCGACACACCGCAAGUUCUGGAGCCAUGGGCUCAGGUUCAGAAAGGCUGCGUCUCUGCCGUUUCUCUGCUCAGCCCCAGCGACUCCCGCUCCGUAGCAACCGUUGCAUCCGAACACCUGAUGGCACCUGAAAAGACCCGGAUCCCAGACGUGUUCCAGGACAAUGGCAGUGCGCUUGGUUUCUACCCCUCGUGCAGCCGGGGACCCUCCCGGCUGGUCCUGCCGGGCUCCCUCGGGGUCCUCGGACUCGGCCUGCCUGUGUCAUACAGAAAUCCCAGCCUUAGGAAGUGGAUUUCACCCAUUUCUCCGGUGACGUCUUCUGUCAGCUCCCGGAUCCCGUCCAGGAUUUCAUGUUGUAUUCUGUCGUCCUGCCUGCCCAGGCUCCUCUGGCCAGAACGUCUUGUCAUCUAAGAAUCUGCUUGGGGACGCCUGGAUGGCUCGGUCGGUUAAGCGACCAACUCUUGAUAUCGGCUCUGGUCGUGAUCUCUCAGUAUCGAGUUUGAGCCCCACGUUGGGCCUGCUUGGGAUUCUCUCUCUCGGCCCCUCCCCCUCUCAUGCUGUCACUCGCUGUCUCUAAAUAAAUAAACAUUUAAAUAAAAAAGAAUUUGCUUGACUUUUUUCUCCCACUGGCAUUUACGUGAAUUCCUUCUAAUCUCUAGAAGGUGGGUUUUCUCAUCCCUCAGUGUUGUGCGUUCAGUUGUGUCCCUCAGAGACAAAGGUCCCCACGUGUCCCAACCCUCGGAACCUGUGAAUGGGGCCUUAUUUGCAAAUAGGGUCUUUGCAGAAGUAAUUAGUUAAGAUGGGGUCACACUGGAGCAGGGUGGGCCUGAAUCUGAUGAUCGUGUCCUCAUAAGAGGAGGGGACCUGGACGCAGACGCACAGAGAAGCCACGUGUCAGCGGAGACGAGGAUUGGAGUGAUGUGUCCACAAGCCAAGGGGCGCCUGGGAUGGCCAGGAAACCACCAGACGCUGGGAGAGGAUCGUCCCCCGGAGGCUUCAGAGGGAGGGCGAGCCUGUGACACCCUGAUUUUGAACUUUUGGCCUCCAGAACUGGGUGGGAACGAAUUUCUGUUGUUUGAAGCCACUCUGUGCGGUCAUUUGCCGUGGCAGCCGCGGGAAACUCACACACUCGGUCACUCGGACCUGGUGCAGAGCACCAGCAGGGCCACAGGCUCGGGGACGCAGGUCAGCCACAUCGUACAGGAGGCACCCUCCCAAACGUUGCUUCGGAGGUGGCCCCGACAGGGAGCUCCCACGCGGGCAUCUCUCCAAAUGGGCUGUCCCGCAGAGGGUCGUACCCGCUGGGGGCCGGUGCCCACGCCCGCAUUUACAGCAAAAGUAGUAGAUACGGGCUCAGCAAGCAUCUCUUCUGUAAUAACACCACGGCAGCAAGGCUGGCUCGGGAGCCGGUGCCCAGUGGAGAAACUUGACCUUGUGUGCAGCUGGGGACAACAUGCAGUGGGGAGGGCUGUGCAAAGCAGCCGGCAGCUGCUCAAAAGUUACCCACGGAAUCACCGCGCGACCGGCGACUCAGAUCCCGGGCGUGCACCCGGGGAAUGGAAAGCAGGGGCUGAGACAGACACCUGCACCCCCGCGUUCACGGCAGCAUGAUUCACAACGGCCGAAAGGUGGAAACACCCCAGGGUCCCCCCGUGGAUGAAGGACAAACACGGUGUGUCCAUCCACACGCCGGAACGUGACCCAGCCCCAGGGAGGAAGGACGUCCUGCCGCCUGCCGCCACGUGGACGGACCCGGAGGCCACUGCGCGCGGUGACAGGAGCCGGACACAGACGGACACGUCCCGCGUGACCCCACGCACAGGGGGUCCCUAGAGGAGU